CACAACAGGAGGGACCACAGAUGGCAGAGGCUCUGGUGUCAUGAGACAAGUUGGUGAAUUAGCCCCAGACAACCCAUUAUAUACAUCUUGGCAUUCUUCUGAAGAAGAUUGUGUUUGCUGAGCAGUAGGUAAGUUUGUAGGCGAGGUGAAGACAAGAAACUGGGAGGGACCCUGUCCAGAUGAUCUCUGUCUCUCCCUUCUGCGAAGAUAAUGAGCUCUGCUUGCAGCAGCAGCAAAAUGCUGCAUAAUAUGCUCAUCAAAAUCUGAGUCAUCUGAGAAGGAAUCCUGUUCUACAUCAAAAUCAACAAGAAGUGGCAGGUUUGAGGAUGCAGCAGAAGAUGUGUUCCUUGACCUUAAACACCUCUCAAUCUCAACAGCAGCUAGAAGUUCUUGGCAGGCAGGAUCCUUGAGGACAAGAAGCUGCCAACAGAUUGGACACUCUUUGCUUCUCUGUGACCA
rnacentral:misc_RNA from 1 species